rnacentral:rRNA from 1 species
CAGGGACGAAACGCUGGCGGCGUGCCCUAAUACAUGCAAGUCGUACGAAUUCUUUUUUCCACCGGAGCUUGCUCCACCGGAAAAAGAGGAGUGGCGAACGGGUGAGUAACACGUGGGUAACCUGCCCAUCAGAAGGGGAUAACACUUGGAAACAGGUGCUAAUACCGUAUAACAAUCGAAACCGCAUGGUUUUGAUUUGAAAGGCGCUUUCGGGUGUCGCUGAUGGAUGGACCCGCGGUGCAUUAGCUAGUUGGUGAGGUAACGGCUCACCAAGGCCACGAUGCAUAGCCGACCUGAGAGGGUGAUCGGCCACAUUGGGACUGAGACACGGCCCAAACUCCUACGGGAGGCAGCAGUAGGGAAUCUUCGGCAAUGGAUGAAAGUCUACCGAGCAACGCCGCGUGAGUGAAGA